GGGCCUGUGGCCGAGUCUGGAUACGGCGGCAGCCUCCUAAGCUGUAAAUCGCGGGUUCGAAUCCCGCCAGGUCCG
rnacentral:tRNA from 1 species